GGAGCUUGCUCCCUGAUGUUAGCGGCGGACGGGUGAGUAACACGUGGGUAACCUGCCUGUAAGACUGGGAUAACUCCGGGAAACCGGGGCUAAUACCGGAUGGUUGUUUGAACCGCAUGGUUCAAACAUAAAAGGUGGCUUCGGCUACCACUUACAGAUGGACCCGCGGCGCAUUAGCUAGUUGGUGAGGUAACGGCUCACCAAGGCAACGAUGCGUAGCCGACCUGAGAGGGUGAUCGGCCACACUGGGACUGAGACACGGCCCAGACUCCUACGGGAGGCAGCAGUAGGGAAUCUUCCGCAAUGGACGAAAGUCUGACGGAGCAACGCCGCGUGAGUGAUGAAGGUUUUCGGAUCGUAAAGCUCUGUUGUUAGGGAAGAACAAGUACCGUUCGAAUAGGGCGGUACCUUGACGGUACCUAACCAGAAAGCCACGGCUAACUACGUGCCAGCAGCCGCGGUAAUACGUAGGUGGCAAGCGUUGUCCGGAAUUAUUGGGCGUAAAGGGCUCGCAGGCGGUUUCUUAAGUCUGAUGUGAAAGCCCCCGGCUCAACCGGGGAGGGUCAUUGGAAACUGGGGAACUUGAGUGCAGAAGAGGAGAGUGGAAUUCCACGUGUAGCGGUGAAAUGCGUAGAGAUGUGGAGGAACACCAGUGGCGAAGGCGACUCUCUGGUCUGUAACUGACGCUGAGGAGCGAAAGCGU
rnacentral:rRNA from 1 species